rnacentral:rRNA from 1 species
UACGGGGGGGGCAAGCGUUGUUCGGAAUUACUGGGCGUAAAGGGCUCGUAGGCGGCCAACUAAGUCGGAUGUGAAAUCCCCAGGCUUAACCUGGGAACUGCAUCCGAUACUGGAUGGCUUGAAUUCGGGAGAGGGAUGCAGAAUUCCAGGUGUAGCGGUGAAAUGCGUAGAUAUCUGGAGGAACACCGGUGGCGAAGGCGGCGUUCUGGACUGCAACUGACACUGAGGAACGAAAGCCAGGGGAGCAAACGGG